rnacentral:rRNA from 1 species
GAUGAACGCUGGCGGCGUGCCUAAUACAUGCAAGUCGUGCGGAAAGGCCCUUCGGGGUACUCGAGUGGCGGACGGCUGAGUAGCGCGUGGGAACGUGCCCCAAAGUGAGGGAUAACGCACCGAAAGGUGUGCUAAUACCGCAUAUGGUCUUCGGAUUAAAGCUUCGGCGCUUUGGGAGCGGCCCGCGUACGAUUAGAUAGUUGGUGAGGUAAUGGCUCACCAAGUCGACGAUCGUUAGCUGGUCUGAGAGGAUGAUCAGCCAGACUGGGACUGAGACACGGCCCAGACUCCUACGGGAGGCAGCAGUAAGGAAUCUUCCAGAAUGGGGGCAACCCUGAGGGAGCAACGCCGCGUGCAGGAUGAAGGUUUUCGGAUCGUAAACUGCUUUUAUAAGUGAAGAAUAUGACGGUAACUUAUGAAUAAGGAUCGGCUAACUACGUGCCAGCAGCCGCCGUAA